UAGAUAUUUUUCUGCCUCAUUUACUAAAAUAAAUAAAAUAGUUAAAUAGUUAUUCGGGUUUUUCCAAUCAAGAUGCUGCUUCUUACGUAUCCUUUCUUUUUAUUUUCUUUUCUCUAAUAUCUUUUGGAGGACUGUGAUAUGAAAGAAAGAUCAUCGGACUACAAGGUAUGUGGCACGCGCCAUCCUCUAGCCAGAUGUGACACUUUCUCAUGCCACUGCUCUCCUAGGUCAUGCAGGUAUGCCUCUCACUCACUCCAACCAAACCUCGCCCUCCUGGCCUGCAGAGGUACAUCUCCUUGAGACCUCCUCAGACCACCUUGGCCCACCUUGACUUUCUCAGAUUCUAAGUGGCUCAGUGAAAUUAAGGAGAAGAUGGAUUUAUUUAAAAAUAGAGUUAAGAGGAGAUGAUAACAAGAGAAGAAAUGAAAAGGAAGCUGGCAGAACCAAGAAAAGAUGUUAAGGAGAAAAAUAAAACCAUUGCGCAACUGAAGACCGCAUUUCUGGAGGCUAGAAGUCCAAAUUCAACUUUAUUGGGCUGAAAUCAAAGAGUCAGGAGGAUACCUGUGAUGGCAUUUAGGCCCACCUGGGUGAGCCAGGACACUCUCUCCAUCUCAAGAUCCUUACUUGAAUCACAUCUGCAAAGCCCUCUUUCUGCCAGGCAAGAAGCAGGAUUGCAGGCCACCUUUUGCAGGCCCAGCCCAGGUUUGGAACAAGGCUUCCUCUGCAAAAGCUGGAUGCUGUGAGCUCUGUCAGCUGCAAUGCUCUACCCCACACCUGCCUGGGUUUCCGGAGUGCAUACUCUAUUUGGGAGCAAUGCCUGCCUUGAACUCCAACAGUAUUUUGUCAGCAUCUUUCCCCAAAGACUAAACUCUACAGCCUAUAUCAAGUAUCAGCCACUGGAGAAAGCCGAGAAAUGGAGAAAUUGAGAAACUUGGCAACACAUCCAGUAAAGAGCUGAAGCUUUUAUAACAGCACAAUACAGGAACAAAAAGGAUAGCUUUGGGGAAUGCCAGCCUUUCCAAGGUAAGUUAUCAAAUGUCAGUGUGAACAAUCAUCAACACUGGAAAAAGAAAUUGUUUAAUUCUCAUAAGCUAACAAAAUGAAUAUGACAUACCAUUUCCCAUGCUACCUAGGUGAAGCAUGCAAGUUGAAUAGUCAUAGCAAUGCUAGUA
rnacentral:lncRNA from 1 species